rnacentral:tRNA from 1 species
GAAGGUAUAGCUCAGUGGUAGAGCUCAUGCUCAGCAUGAACGAAUUCCAGGGUUCAAUCCCCAGCACCUCCU